AGCGCCGCGCAAGCGGGCCGACGGUCGACUCCGGCGGCGUAGGAGCCUUCAGCCCGGCUCCGGAAAGCUGCGG
rfam:Mycobacterium sp. E2978 contig_47, whole genome shotgun sequence.